CAGCCGCCGCGGUAAGACGAACCGUGCGAACGUUAUUCGGAAUCACUGGGCUUAAAGCGCGUGUAGGCGGGACGGCACGUCGACUGCUGAAAUCCCUCGGCUUAACCGAGGAACGGGCAUCGAUACGACCGUCCUGGAGGGACGUAGGGGGACCUGGAACUUCCGGUGGAGCGGUGGAAUGCGUUGAGAUCGGAAGGAACGCCCGUGGCGAAAGCGAGGUCCUGGACGUCUACUGACGCUGAGACGCGAAAGCUAGGGGAGCGAACGGGAUUAGAUACCCCCGUAGUCCCUGUCUCUUAUA
rnacentral:rRNA from 1 species